AGUGGAAACUGAAUGUAUCUCCCAUGAAGGCAAAUGAUGUGUCUUUUGUCUGUAUUUUCAGCAUUUCUGGAGUAAUAUAAGGGCUCCUAUGCUUUAAAACAAUUAGGUGAUCCAAAUAAUUUCUCUUUGUACAUC